rnacentral:rRNA from 1 species
AGCGAACGCUGGCGGCAGGCUUAACACAUGCAAGUCGAACGCCCCGCAAGGGGAGUGGCAGACGGGUGAGUAACACGUGGGAACGUACCCUUUGGUUCGGAAUAACUUGGGGAAACUCAAGCUAAUACCGGAUAAGCCCUUAUGGGGAAAGGUUUACUGCCGAAGGAUCGGCCCGCGUCUGUUUAGCGAGUUGGUGAGGUAAUGGCUCACAAAGGCGACGAUCAGUAGCUGGUCUGAGAGGAUGAUCAGCCACACUGGGACUGAGACACGGCCCAGACUCCUACGGGAGGCAGCAGUGGGGAAUAUUGGACAAUGGGGGCAACCCUGAUCCAGCCAUGCCGCGUGAGUGAUGAAGGCCUUAGGGUUGUAAAGCUCUUUUACCCGGGACGAUAAUGACUGUACCGGGAGAAUAAGCCCCGGCUAACUUCGUGCCAGCAGCCGCCGUAA